rnacentral:rRNA from 1 species
ACGAACGCUGGCGGCGUGGAUAAGACAUGCAAGUCGAGCGCUAAUUACAGGGUAGCAAUAUUCUGUAGUUGGAGCGGCGCAAGGGUGCGUAACACGUGGGUAAUCUGCCAUGAAGUUUGGGAUAACUCGCUGAAAGGCGAGCUAAUACCGGAUGUGACGAUUGGAAAGCAUUUUCUGAUCUUUAAAGUUGGGGAUCGUAAGACCCUGACGCUUCAUGAUGAGCCCGCGGCCUAUCAGCUAGUUGGUGAGGGUAACGGCUCACCAAGGCUAAGACGGGUAGCUGGUCUGAGAGGACGACCAGCCACACUGGAACUGAGACACGGUCCAGACACCUACGGGUGGCAGCAGUCGAGAAUUUUUUCACAAUGGGGGAAAACCCUGAUGGAGCGACGCCGCGUGGGGGGAUUGAAUGGCUUCGGCCCGUAAACCCCUGUCAUUCGCGAACAAGUUGGUUCAAUUAACACCUGAACCAUUGAUAGUAGCGGAAGAGGAAAGGGACGGCUAACUCUGUGCCAGCAGCCGCGGUAAUACAGAGGUCCCAAGCGUUUGUUCGGAUUUCACUGGGCGUAAAGGGUGCGUAGGCGGUCGGGUAAGUCUGAUGGUGAAAUCUCACAGCUUAACUGUGAAACUGCAUUGGAUACUAUUCGGCUUGAGAGUUGGAGGGGGGGACUGGAAUUCUUGGUGUAGCAGUGAAAUGCGUAGAUAUCAAGAGGAACACCAGUGGCGAAGGCGAGUCCCUGGACAACUUCUGACGCUGAGGCACGAAAGCUAGGGGGAGCAAACAGGAUUAGAUACCCUGGUAGUCCUAGCCGUAAACGGUGCUUAUUUGCUGUAAAAGGAAUCGACCCCUUUUGUGGCGUAGCAAAACGCGUUAAAUAAGCCGCCUGGGAAGUACGGUUCGCAAGAUUAAAACUCAAAGAAAUUGACGGGGGGCCUGCACAAGCGGUGGAGUAUGUGGCUUAAUUCGAUGCAACGCGAAGAACCUUACCUGGUCUUGACAUGCAAGUGGUAGAACCAUGAAAGUGGGGACGACCCCGCAAGGGGAGCUUGCACAGGUGCUGCAUGGCUGUCGUCAGCUCGUGUCGUGAGAUGUUGGGUUAAGUCCCGCAACGGGGCGCAAACCCCUGUGUCCUGUUGCCACCCGGCUGAGAGGCUGGAGCACUCUGGACAGACUGCCUCGCUUCAACGAGGAGGAAGGUGGGGAUGACGUCAAGUCAGUAUGGCCCUUACGACCAGGGCUGCACACGUGCUACAAUGCCCGGCACAAAGGGAAGCAAGAUCGUAAGAUGGAGCAAAUCCCCAAAAAACCGGGCCCAGUUCAGAUUGUCGUCUGCAACUCGACGGCAUGAAGCUGGAAAUCGCUAGUAAUGGCGCAUCAGCUACGGCGCCGUGAAUACGUUCCCCAGGCCUUGUACACACCGCCCGUCACAUCAUGAAAGUCGUUUUGUACCCGAAGUCGCCCCUUAAAAGGUGCCGAAGGUAUGGAUGGUGAUUGGGAUG